AACACGUAUCCAACCUGCCGUCUACUCUUGGACAGCCUUCUGAAGGAAGAUUAAUACAAGAUGGCAUCAUGAGUCCGCAUGUUCACAUGAUUAAAGGUAUUCCGGUAGACGAUGGGGAUGCGUUCCAUUAGAUAGUAGGCGGGGUAACGGCCCACCUAGUCUUCGAUGGAUAGGGGUUCUGAGAGGAAGGUCCCCCACAUUGGAACUGAGACACGGUCCAAACUCCUACGGGAGGCAGCAUG
rnacentral:rRNA from 1 species